UACGAAGGGGGCUAGCGUUGCUCGGAAUCACUGGGCGUAAAGGGUGCGUAGGCGGGUCUUUUAAGUCAGGGGUGAAAUCCUGGAGCUCAACUCCAGAACUGCCUUUGAUACUGAAGAUCUUGAGUUCGGGAGAGGUGAGUGGAACUGCGAGUGUAGAGGUGAAAUUCGUAGAUAUUCGCAAGAACACCAGUGGCGAAGGCGGC
rnacentral:rRNA from 1 species